UCAAGUAGAAACAAUGAGCAUGAUGUUCUUUAUUAAUGUACUGCUUUCAAGAAAAAAAACAAAACAAUUCCUAUUAUAAUUUCAGAAGUAACAGAUGGUUCAGAGAUAAACACAAAAUGUUACAUUUUGCUAAUUCUGAGAGAUAGGAGAAAUAGCAUGCAUGAUAUGCCAGGCAACCUGCCCAACAUUGCUUCUGUCCCACUAUCUCAGGAAAGCAGCCAACAUCCUGGUAAUUCAUUGGUGGAAUAUACAGUAACUUGAAAACUACCACAGGGCUCAAGGACAACUUCUUUCCCGCUACAGGUGUCUCCUGUUUUUUGAAUGUUCGCUUUACGACACCACGUUGUUACGAAAGACCUACAUUAGUUGCCUGUUUUCGCUAACAGAAGGUGUUUUCACUGUUACGAGAAAAGGCAGCGCACACGCCGAGCAGCCAAUCUCCUCCCCCAGAACAGCAUUCUAGCCGGCAUUGCUUAAACACGUGCCUGUGAGCAUGUGUGCUUUAUGUCCGUUUAUUUUGUGCAUCCAUUAUCAAGAUGAAUUCUAAGGUAUCAGAAAAGCCUAAAAAAGCGCGUAAGGGUGUUACACUUAGCGUAACACUAGACAUAAUAAAGCGUUUUGUGAUGAACAAAGUAAGGAUAUAGUGAAUUUGGCUAAGGGUUUGUGGAAGUUGAUGAAGAUGAUGUUGAAGAGGUUUUGGCAUCCCAUGACCAAGAACUGAGAUAUGAAGAGCUAAUGAAGAGGAAAGGGUAACAAUUGAAGCCGAACGCAGUAGCAAACAGCCCGAAAGUGAAGUCGCCCAGGAACUGAACAUGAAGCAAUUGCGUGAGAUUUUUGCUGCGAUUGACACUGCUGCAACUAUUGCAGAAAAAUAUGACUUUAACUUUGAAAGGGUACGUAAGUUUAAGGCAUAUUUGCAGGAUGGUGUGAAUGCUUACAAAGAACUGUAUGAUAGAAAAAUGCACGAGGCUAAGCAGUCAAGCAUACUGUCGUCUCUCAAGCCCUCCACAUCACAGCAGACAACAAACCUCGACCUUCGACAUUGAGGCAGGCAGACACAGAAGAAGGUGACCUGCCUGCCCUGAUGGAAACAGACGACAAUGAGGUGACAACCCAGUGUCCCACCACCCUAACCUCCGACAACUCAGCCUAACACACCAUCAUCAGUGUGCUCGCUGUCUUCCCAAAACUACACUGAACGUACAUUAUUUCUACUUUAUACAGGCUAUGUAUUUUUAUGUUAUUUCAUAUGAUUUAGCAGCUUCAUAGCUUAAAGGUUACUGGAAAGACUGCUUCUGCCGAGAGCGCUUGCGCCGUGUGUUUUUGCCGCGAGUGCUGCCAAGACCGUUUGCGUGAAAUUUUCGCUACGGUGGACAGUGCCGCAAUAAUUGCAGAAAAGCAUUUUUACUUUAUAUAGGCUGUGUAUUUAUCAGAUAGGUUUUACGUGUUAUUUGGCAUGACUUGGUAGGUUAGUUUUUGGGUCUGCAAAUGCUCACAAAUUUUUCCCAUAUAAAUAAAUGGUAAUUGCUUGUUCACUUUACGACAUUCUGGCUUAUUUCAUAGGAAUGCUCUACCUUCGAAUAGCAGGGGAAACCUGUGUUCUAAAACUCUUGAAUGGAACUCUUGACAAUAAAGUACCAGGACAAUCAUAAACCAAUUAAAAUGAAGAAAUAAAAAAGUGAACAAUAUAAUGGAAAUGAAGGGGCUGAAGUGGAAAGUGAAAGAUGUGCUUGGUGGUGGGAUCCUGUUGGAGAUGGUGAAAGUUACAGAGAAUUAUGUGCUGGACCAUGGUGGGUCUCAUCAGCAAGAACGACGAAUCAGCUUACAGAGAGGAGGUGCAGCGGCUAAUGGACUGUGCAGAGCCAACAACCUGUCUCUGAAUGUGAACAAAACAAAAGAGAUGGUUGUUAACUUCAGGAGGGCAUGAAGCAACCACUCCCCACUGAGCAUCGAUGGCUCCUCGGUAGAAAUCGUAAAGAGCACCAAAUUUCUUGGUGUUCAACUGACGAAGAAUCUCACCUGGUCCCUCAACACCAGCUCCAUAGCAAAGAAAGCCCAGCAGCAUCUCUACUUUCUGUGAAGGCUGAGGAAAGUCCAUCUCCCACCCCCUCCUCAUCACAUUCUACAGGGGUUAUAUUGAGAGCAUCCUGAGCAGCUGCAUCACUGCCUGGUUCGGAAAUUGCACCAUCUUGGAUCGCAAGACCCUGCAGUGGAUAGUGAGGUCAGCUGAGAAGAUCAUCAGGGUCUCUCUUCCCGCCAUCAUGGACAUUUACACUACACGCUGCAUCCACAAAGGAAACAGCAUUAUGAAGGACUCCAUGCACCCCUCAUACAAUCUCUUCUCCCUCCUGCUGUCUGGGAAAAGACUCCAAAGCAUUCGGGCUCUCACGACCAGAUGAUGUAACAGUUUCUUCCCCAAGCUAUCAGACUCCUCAAUACCCGAAGCCUGGACUGACACCUUGCACUAUUGUCCUGUUUAUUAUUAUUGUAAUGUCUGCACUGUUUUUGUGCACUUUAUGCAGUCCUGUGCAGGUCUGUAGUCUAGUGUAGCUUUCUCUGUGUUGUUUGUUUUUUUUCUACAUAGUUCAGUCUAGUUUUUGUACUGUGCCAUGUAACACCAUGGUCCUGAAAAACAUUGUCUCAUUUUUACUAUGUACUAUACCAGCAGUUAUGGUCGAAAUGACAAUAAAAGUGACUUGACUUGGA